AGAGUUUGAUCCUGGCUCAGGAUGAAUGCUGGCGGCGUGCCUGAGAUAUGCAAGUCGUGCGCACUUAGCUGUUAGCACCUAGCUCUCGGUAGUUAUGAGAAAUAUUCUCGUGGCUUCAGGGCUGUGUGCUAAUAGUUUAAGUCAGCGGCGGACGGCUGAGUAACACGUAGGAACCUUCCCCUCGGCAAAGAAUAGCCCCGCGAAAGCGGGGGUAAUACUUUAUUGUUCCCGACGCAAGUUGGGAUAAAGAGCGUAACUGCUCACCAAGGGACGGUCCUGCGGCCUAUCAGGUAGUUGGUGGGGUAAUAGCCUACCAAGCCUAUGACGGGUAGCUGACUUGAGAGAGUGGUCAGCCAGUGGGGCACUGAGACACGGGCCCCACUCCUACGGGAGGCAGCAAUCAGGAAUAGUCGGCAAUGGGCGAAAGCCUGACCGCGCGACGCCGCGUGUGAGAUGAAGCUUUAACAAGUGUAAAUCACUGUGGUAGGGGAAGAAGUUCCGAUGUAAGUCGGGAUUGACGGUACCCUACUAGAAAGAGGCCGCUAACUGCGUGCCAGAAGCGUCGGUAAUACGUGGGCCUCAAGCAUUAUCCGGUUUUAUUGGGCGUAAAGGGUCGUGUAGGCGGUUUGAUAAGUUAUUUUUUAAAUUUCAUCGCUUAACGGUGAAAUUGGGGAUAAUACUGUCGAACUAGAGUUUUUUUUAAGGAGAAUGGAACUUAAGGAGGAGCAGUGAAAUGCGUUGAUACCUUAGGGAACACCAGCGGCGAAGGCGAAUCUCUGGAAAAAGACUGACGCUGAGACACGAAAGCUAGGGGAGCGAAGCAGAUUAGAGACCUGCGUAGUCCUAGCCUUAAACGGAUGUCUGCUAGCUGCAUUAGUUCGACUUUUGUCGAUCAUGGUGUGGCGAAGGUAACCCGUUAAGCAGACCGCCUGGGGAGUACGGCCGCAAGGUUGAAACUCAAAGGAAUUGGCGGGGAGGUACACAACCAGUGGAACAUGUGGUUCAAUUCGAAACGAACCGAAGAACCUCACCAGGGUUUGACAUCCAGAAGUUCUAUCCCGUAGAAAUAUGGGAGAUUCGCAAGAAGAUCUGGACAGGUGCUGCAUGGCUGUCGUCAGCUCGUUCCGUGAGGAGUGCCCUUAAGUGGGACAACGA
rnacentral:rRNA from 1 species